rnacentral:rRNA from 1 species
AAUCGAGGAAGUCACUUCGGUGACAGGAAGACAGGUGGUGCAUGGUUGUCGUCAGCUCGUGUCGUGAGAUGCUGGGUUAAGUCCCGCAACGAGCGCAACCCUUAUUGUUAGUUGCUACCAUUUAGUUGAGCACUCUAGCGAGACUGCCCGGGUUAACCGGGAGGAAGGUGGGGAUGACGUCAAAUCAUCAUGCCCCUUAUGUCUAGGGCUACACACGUGCUACAAUGGCUGGUACAGAGAGAUGCUAAACCGCGAGGUGGAGCCAAACUUUAAAACCAGUCUCAGUUCGGAUUGUAGGCUGAAACUCGCCUACAUGAAGCUGGAGUUGCUAGUAAUCGCGAAUCAGAAUGUCGCGGUGAAUACGUUCCCGGGCCUUGUACACACCGCCCGUCACACCAUGAGAGUUGGCAAUACCCAAAGUUCGUGAGUUAACCCGUAAGGGAGGCAGCGACCUAAGGUAGGGUCAGCGAUUGGGGUGAAGUCGUAACAAGGUAGCCGUAGGAGAACCUGCG